CGAGAUGUAGCUAAAUGGGGAAAGCAUCCAGGGGGAGUAUCUGGUAAUAUGUAGGUUCAAAUCCUACCAUCUCGACCA
rnacentral:tRNA from 1 species